rnacentral:rRNA from 1 species
GACGUAGGGGGCCAGCGUUGUUCGGAAUUACUGGGUGUAAAGGGUUCGUAGGCGGUGUGGCAAGUCGGGAGUGAAAUCUCUGGGCUCAACCCAGAGGCUGCUUCCGAAACUGCUGUGCUUGAGUGUGGGAGAGGCGCGUGGAAUUGCAGGUGUAGCGGUGUAAUGCGUAGAUAUCUGCAGGAACACCCGUGGCGAAGGCGGCGCGCUGGACCACAACUGCCGCUGAGGCGCGAAAGCUAGGGGAGCAAUCAGG